AUGGAUUGUCUCUUAAAGUGACUGCACCUAAUUUAGCAGCUGCUGUCAAUGUCCUUAUUUUAAUCCAAGAAAUCUAAUGAGAGAAAAUCUCUCACUGCGCUUCACUAAAUUACUUUGUCAUUUUAACAAGAACUAAACUCUUUUUCAUUUAUACAGUGAAGACUAUGCAAUGCUAUUUUACAUUUGAUUAUAUGGUCUCUGUAACUGGACAAUUACAAACUUAAACAUUGUUUAAUUUGUAUCUUUGUUCUGUUUAUUUCUUUGUGCUAUUUACACAUUUUAAACAGGGACCUGUACCCUGGUCAGACAAGAAACCUGUGAAAGUGGAUGGUCUGCAUAUAAAGGUAGAUGCUUCCGCUUUUUUAACUUUCCGCGUUCCUGGAUUGAUGCAGAGAAACAGUGUUUGGGCUACGAUGGGAACCUGGCCUCUGUACACAGUUAUGAGGAGUACAUCUUCGUACAGAUCAUGAUUAAAUAUCAAACUCAAGAGACAAGAGUCCUGGAUAGGAGGCUAUGACGCUGUUUCAGAGGGAACAUGGCUCUGGAGUGAUGGAUCAAAACUGGACCAAGAGAUAUGGGCUCCUUCACAACCUGACAAUAGCAAUAGAAACGAACACUGUCUUAUGAUGAACUAUCAACCCUCGAGUAACUGGAAUGACAACCCCUGUCAUAUUAAAAAGCCUUAUGUGUGUGUGAAGAAAUAAACACCAGCAUUUAAGUUUCAUGUAAAAUU